UCAGACGGAGGAUCCGAGCGUUAUCCGGAGUGACUGGGCGUAAAGAGUUGCGUAGGCGGUUUGUUAAGCAGAUAGUGAAAUCUCAGGGCUCAACCUUGAGGCUAUUAUCUGAACUGGCAAACUUGAGAAUGAGAGAGGUAAUUGGAAUUCCCAGUGUAGCGGUGAAAUGCGUAGAUAUUGGGAAGAACACCAAUGGCGUAGGCAGAUUACUGGCUCAUUUCUGACGCUAAGGCACGAAAGCGUGGGGAGCGAACCGGAUUAGAUACCCGGGUAGUCCACGCCGUAAACGAUGGAUGCUAGCUGUAGGGCGCUCGACCCGUCCUGUAGCGAAGCUAACGCGUUAAGCAUCCCGCCUGGGGAGUACGGUCGCAAGAUUA
rnacentral:rRNA from 1 species